GCCAGCAACCAUAUCACCCUGCAACUCACAGCUGGCAGCCCACUGAAGCUAAGCAGGUGUGAGCCUGGUCAGUACCUGGAUGGGAGACCUCCUGGGAAAAACUAAGGUUGCUGCUGGAA
ensembl:rRNA 5S_rRNA 5S ribosomal RNA